CUGGGCUUGCUCAUCCUUCUGUGAAUUGACUGGUGUGUUCUACUCUAGGUUGGGCUUAUCUAAAAACAGUUCUGCUCCCAAUGGCUGUUAUCUUCCUCCCAAGACCAUGCCAAUAGGCUUGGCAUGUUCUUCUCAUGACAACAGAAGAAGCACAAGGGAAAGCAAACUGAAUCCAUGAAGCAGUGGAAGAAGAGAAACAGUUUGCUGUUGAACCCGAAGAGAUAUGAGAACUCUCUCUGCUGUUGGUAAGGGGAGGAGAACUUAGACUCCUUGAUCCAUUUUGUCUUAGAUGCAUUUUGUUUUUCUCUGUGAAACUUUCUUAUUUCGGGCAGAACAAUGUCCCCUCCCCUCUGGUUCUUCUAAUGGACUACUACCUUUCUCAUUUUUCCAGUGCUUCCUUACAGUGCAUAUCUGGAUGACAGUCUCAUUUUGGGAGAUGUCCUGAAAAUGUGCAAAUGGGAGGGGAAUAACAAUGAGCUGACAUCAGUGAAGAAAGAAAGUAAUACAAUCCAGUCAAUGUUGAAUAUUAAUAAAGCAUAAAUGAAUGGACCAAAA